rnacentral:lncRNA from 1 species
GUAAAAUUAUACUUCUAUAUUAAAAUAUCAGAAUAAAAGGGUUUUGUGGUGAUUAAAAUUGUGUUUUUCAUAUUUGGGAGGAAGGAAGGAAUACUGAGCAACUUUUGAAUUUGUUAGAUCAAUUUGUAGGUAGUGUAUAAAAGCUAACCAUUAAAAGAUUAGAAAUAUAAUCUGUAUCUUCAAAAUUAUUAUGGGGGGAAAAUUAAUAUAGAAAAGUUUGUCAACCAACAAAAGGCUAGGAAAGAAGGGUAAAAAAGAAAUAAGAAAAGAUAAUAAAUAGAAAACCAAAAUGGUAUGGUAGAGUGAAAUCCAAAUUUGUCAACAUUAUAAUAAAUUUUACUAAAUUAACAUUAAAAGACAUUUUCACAUGACAAGGAGCACAUAAACCAACUACAUGCACUUUAUAAGAAAUACAGCAUAACAAAAUCACAAAGAAAUGAUGAAAAUAAAAGAAUAGAAAAAUACAUAUUAUAAAAGUACUUAAAAAAAUAAAGAAGUUAGAAUAGUAAUAUCUGUAUCAGACCAAAUAGAA